rnacentral:rRNA from 1 species
UGAACCGUUAUAACCGGCGAUUUCCGAAUGGGGAAACCCAGUGUGUUUCGACACACUAUCAUUAACUGAAUCCAUAGGUUAAUGAGGCGAACCGGGGGAACUGAAACAUCUAAGUACCCCGAGGAAAAGAAAUCAACCGAGAUUCCCCCAGUAGCGGCGAGCGAACGGGGAGGAGCCCAGAGCCUGAAUCAGUGUGUGUGUUAGUGGAAGCGUCUGGAAAGGCGCGCGAUACAGGGUGACAGCCCCGUACACAAAAAUGCACAUAUUGUGAGCUCGAUGAGUAGGGCGGGACACGUGGUAUCCUGUCUGAAUAUGGGGGGACCAUCCUCCAAGGCUAAAUACUCCUGACUGACCGAUAGUGAACCAGUACCGUGAGGGAAAGGCGAAAAGAACCYCGGCGAGGGGAGUGAAAAAGAACCUGAAACCGUGUACGUACAAGCAGUGGGAGCCUCUUAAUGGGGUGACUGCGUACCUUUUGUAUAAUGGGUCAGCGACUUAUAUUCUGUAGCAAGGUUAACCGAAUAGGGGAGCCGAAGGGAAACCGAGUCUUAACUGGGCGUUAAGUUGCAGGGUAUAGACCCGAAACCCGGUGAUCUAGCCAUGGGCAGGUUGAAGGUUGGGUAACACUAACUGGAGGACCGAACCGACUAAUGUUGAAAAAUUAGCGGAUGACUUGUGGCUGGGGGUGAAAGGCCAAUCAAACCGGGAGAUAGCUGGUUCUCCCCGAAAGCUAUUUAGGUAGCGCCUCGUGAAUUCAUCUCCGGGGGUAGAGCACUGUUUCGGCAAGGGGGUCAUCCCGACUUACCAACCCGAUGCAAACUGCGAAUACCGGAGAAUGUUAUCACGGGAGACACACGGCGGGUGCUAACGUCCGUCGUGAAGAGGGAAACAACCCAGACCGCCAGCUAAGGUCCCAAAGUCAUGGUUAAGUGGGAAACGAUGUGGGAAGGCCCAGACAGCCAGGAUGUUGGCUUAGAAGCAGCCAUCAUUUAAAGAAAGCGUAAUAGCUCACUGGUCGAGUCGGCCUGCGCGGAAGAUGUAACGGGGCUAAACCAUGCACCGAAGCUGCGGCAGCGACACUAUGUGUUGUUGGGUAGGGGAGCGUUCUGUAAGCCUGUGAAGGUGGCCUGUGAGGGUUGCUGGAGGUAUCAGAAGUGCGAAUGCUGACAUAAGUAACGAUAAAGCGGGUGAAAAGCCCGCUCGCCGGAAGACCAAGGGUUCCUGUCCAACGUUAAUCGGGGCAGGGUGAGUCGACCCCUAAGGCGAGGCCGAAAGGCGUAGUCGAUGGGAAACAGGUUAAUAUUCCUGUACUUGGUGUUACUGCGAAGGGGGGACGGAGAAGGCUAUGUUGGCCGGGCGACGGUUGUCCCGGUUUAAGCGUGUAGGCUGGUUUUCCAGGCAAAUCCGGAAAAUCAAGGCUGAGGCGUGAUGACGAGGCACUACGGUGCUGAAGCGACAAAUGCCCUGCUUCCAGGAAAAGCCUCUAAGCAUCAGGUAACAUCAAAUCGUACCCCAAACCGACACAGGUGGUCAGGUAGAGAAUACCAAGGCGCUUGAGAGAACUCGGGUGAAGGAACUAGGCAAAAUGGUGCCGUAACUUCGGGAGAAGGCACGCUGAUAUGUAGGUGAAGCGACUUGCUCGUGGAGCUGAAAUCAGUCGAAGAUACCAGCUGGCUGCAACUGUUUAUUAAAAACACAGCACUGUGCAAACACGAAAGUGGACGUAUACGGUGUGACGCCUGCCCGGUGCCGGAAGGUUAAUUGAUGGGGUUAGCGGUAACGCGAAGCUCUUGAUCGAAGCCCCGGUAAACGGCGGCCGUAACUAUAACGGUCCUAAGGUAGCGAAAUUCCUUGUCGGGUAAGUUCCGACCUGCACGAAUGGCGUAAUGAUGGCCAGGCUGUCUCCACCCGAGACUCAGUGAAAUUGAACUCGCUGUGAAGAUGCAGUGUACCCGCGGCAAGACGGAAAGACCCCGUGAACCUUUACUAUAGCUUGACACUGAACAUUGAGCCUUGAUGUGUAGGAUAGGUGGGAGGCUUUGAAGUGUGGACGCCAGUCUGCAUGGAGCCGACCUUGAAAUACCACCCUUUAAUGUUUGAUGUUCUAACGUGGGCCCCUUACCGGGGUUGCGGACAGUGUCUGGUGGGUAGUUUGACUGGGGCGGUCUCCUCCUAAAGAGUAACGGAGGAGCACGAAGGUUGGCUAAUCCUGGUCGGACAUCAGGAGGUUAGUGCAAUGGCAUAAGCCAGCUUGACUGCGAGCGUGACGGCGCGAGCAGGUGCGAAAGCAGGUCAUAGUGAUCCGGUGGUUCUGAAUGGAAGGGCCAUCGCUCAACGGAUAAAAGGUACUCCGGGGAUAACAGGCUGAUACCGCCCAAGAGUUCAUAUCGACGGCGGUGUUUGGCACCUCGAUGUCGGCUCAUCACAUCCUGGGGCUGAAGUAGGUCCCAAGGGUAUGGCUGUUCGCCAUUUAAAGUGGUACGCGAGCUGGGUUUAGAACGUCGUGAGACAGUUCGGUCCCUAUCUGCCGUGGGCGCUGGAGAACUGAGGGGGGCUGCUCCUAGUACGAGAGGACCGGAGUGGACGCAUCACUGGUGUUCGGGUUGUCAUGCCAAUGGCACUGCCCGGUAGCUAAAUGCGGAAGAGAUAAGUGCUGAAAGCAUCUAAGCACGAAACUUGCCCCGAGAUGAGUUCUCCCUGACUCCUUGAGAGUCCUGAAGGAACGUUGAAGACGACGACGUUGAUAGGCCGGGUGUGUAAGCGCAGCGAUGCGUUGAGCUAACCGGUACUAAUGAACCGUGAGGCUUAACCUUACAACGCCGAAG